AUUGAACGCUGGCGGCAGGCCUAACACAUGCAAGUCGAGCGAGUGGCGGACGGGUGAGUAAUGUCUGGGAAACUGCCUGAUGGGGGGGGAUAACUACUGGAAACGGUAGCUAAUACCGCAUACCAUCGGAUGUGCCCAGAUGGGAUUUGCUAGUUGGUGGGGUAAAGGCUCACCUAGGCGACGAUCCCUAGCUGGUCUGAGAGGAGGACCGGCCACACUGGAACUGAGACACGGUCCAGACUCCUACGGGAGGCAGCAGUGGGGAAUAUUGCACAAUGGGCGCAAGCCUGAUGCAGCCAUGCCGCGUGUAUGAAGAAGGCCUUCGGGUUGUAAAGUACUGUCAGCGGGGAGGCGGUACCCGCAGAGGAAGCACCGGCUAACUCCGUGCCAGCAGCCGCGGUAAUAC
rnacentral:rRNA from 1 species